rnacentral:lncRNA from 1 species
GUAGUAAAGAUUGUUCGUAGUUUAUAAUUUCCAGAAUGCUAUUAAAAGAAUGGGAUAUAGAAGCUAAAUGUAAACAUCUAUAAAAUCAACAGAGCCAUUCAAAGUAUUUGCAAAACUCUCAUCAAACUAUGUGACAGUGGCACUUAGACUUUCUUGACUUCUCAGCAACUAAAUAGUAAAUUCAGCUCACCUAAUGAGCUUUAUAUAAAAUUAAACUGUUAAAUCUAACAAUUUCAAUUGACAAUUUGUUAGGCUCAACACUAUAGAAGGAGGAAUCCUGAGGAUGUGUCUCCUGUUUUAAAACUUUUAAAAUGAGGCAAUGAAGCCCAUGGGGUUGUCAACCACAUCUGAAAUACAAACUGCUGAUAGGCAGUAGGAAGAAAAUUAAAGAUUCUUCCUGAUCAUUAUUACUGAAAUACAUUCAAUUUACAUGGAAAAAAAUUUAAAAGAAAUUAAAAUAACCUUUCAAUUUCAUCAUGGUCUUGAAACACUGUGUCCAGUUAUUUUCCCUUUUCCUCCUUUCCAAUGUAUCAGCUGACAGCUAAAAUUGGCCUACAGUCCCUCUCCUAUUUGACUCCUCUCUGACCCAAUUCAGGCUCGGAGUGAGGGAAGCACAGGAGCAGAGCCAACAUUGGGCAUUUGUUUACUUCUUUGUGUCUCAGCACAAAAUGAUGAUAGCACUAGAAAGAGUCUGGGGAAUAAUGUUUCUUUGUUAUGGUGGAGUCUGCACACCUGCAGGGUCAGUGCAUGCAUUGUUUUGUGGUUUUCUCAUAUGCCAGACCAGAUGAGAAAGCAAUUCUUGUUAUUGCUUCGUGAUUCAAUAUACCAACCCAUUCUUGGCUGCACAAAAUAUGUUGAUUAGGAAAAUUUUGGACUGAAACAUUAAUCGAGUUGCUACGGGAUCACAGCAGUAAGUGUUGAUUUCAUCAUUAUGUGAUGAAAAGUUGCUUCUAUGAGCAAAUGAGUCAGAGAAUUUUUAACUAUUCUACAGGAGUAUUUUUCCUAGUUUCUCUGUAGUUGACCAACUAGAAAAAUUUUAGGUUGAAAAGAAAUUAUCUAGAAGUAUACAGUAAAAAGCUAUACAGAAAAUUAUUAUUUUUCUUCUGAUGGUGCAUUGUGUAAUUUGGACAGUGCAUUGCUGUAUAAGGCCACAAAAUUUAUUAUCCAAAAUACUGAAAUUUAUAUUGCAACUCACUGGCUGUGAACCUACUAGAGUUAAUGUGCCAAAUGUAUAGUAGAAAAUAAUUAAGAAUUCAGCAUCACUGCAUUUCUGAGGAUGAUGACACGGUGUUCAACAAAGCCAUUGUGACUAGGACACAGGGUAUACUGUGUGAUGGCAGAGACCACACAAGCAGAAUCAUCCCAAUCACAUCUAUGGUCACAAAUUACAUUUGGCUCACUUAACAGAUUUCAAUUUAUCCACACAUAGAUUCUAAAAAUUUCCUCUAUGUGCUUGAUCUCAUUUUUAAAAUUAUAUUUAUUUGAGAAACAGAAAAAGAAAUCCCCUAACUUCUGAUUCCCUCUC